AGGGUUCAUAAGAAGAAUUUGACUUCGUGCUUGACUGUAUCCAUCAUUCAAACCCAUCAAAAAUUGUAAUAACCUUUGUCUUACCAAAUUGUUUGCAUAUUCCUUGGAUGUUGGACAAUCACAGCAAGGAGGUGGUGUAAUUGAAUCAAACUCAUCCCAAAGGUCCUUUAACUUCGAGUAAUACACUGCAACAGACGAAACGCCUUGGGAUAGUGUGGCUAUGGACUUAUGAAGGUGGUAGAUUCUCAACAUAUUCACUUUAUCAAAU
rnacentral:lncRNA from 1 species